AGCAGCCGCGGUAAUUCCAGCUCCAAUAGCGUAUAUUAAAGUUGUUGCAGUUAAAAAGCUCGUAGUUGAAUUUCGGGGUUAGUAGGUUGGUCGUGCCUAUGGUAUGCACUGGCUUUACUGAUUCCUCCUUCUUGAAGAACUGUAAUGUCAUUAAUUUGGUGUUGCAGGGAAACAGGACUGUUACUUUGAAAAAAUUAGAGUGUUUAAAGCAGGCUAACGCUUGAAUACAUUAGCAUGGAAUAAUGAAAUAGGACGUUUGAUCCUAUUUUGUUGGUUUCUAGGAUUGACGUAAUGAUUAAUAGGGAUAGUUGGGGGCAUUAGUAUUCAAUUGUCAGAGGUGAAAUUCUUGGAUUUAUUGAAGACUAACUACUGCGAAAGCAUUUGCCAAGGAUGUUUUCAUUAAUCAAGAACGAAAGUUAGGGGAUCGAAGACGAUCAGAUACCGUCGUAGUCUUAACCAUAAACUAUGCCGACUAGGGAUCGGAUGAUGUUAACUUUUUAAUGACUCAUUCGGCGCCUUACG
rnacentral:rRNA from 1 species